rnacentral:rRNA from 1 species
GAUGAACGCUGGCGGCGUGCCUAAUACAUGCAAGUCGAGCGAACGGACGAGAAGCUUGCUUCUCUGAUGUUAGCGGCGGACGGGUGAGUAACACGUGGAUAACCUACCUAUAAGACUGGGAUAACUUCGGGAAACCGGAGCUAAUACCGGAUAAUAUUUUGAACCGCAUGGUUCAAAAGUGAAAGACGGUCUUGCUGUCACUUAUAGAUGGAUCCGCGCUGCAUUAGCUAGUUGGUAAGGUAACGGCUUACCAAGGCAACGAUGCAUAGCCGACCUGAGAGGGUGAUCGGCCACACUGGAACUGAGACACGGUCCAGACUCCUACGGGAGGCAGCAGUAGGGAAUCUUCCGCAAUGGGCGAAAGCCUGACGGAGCAACGCCGCGUGAGUGAUGAGGGUCUUCGGAUCGUAAAACUCUGUUAUUAGGGAAGAACAUAUGUGUAAGUAACUGUGCACAUCUUGACGGUACCUAAUCAGAAAGCCACGGCUAACUACG